GUGAUUCGGUUGGGUAGGCGGCGCUCAAGCGUCCUGAAACACUGAACGCACCAUCUGGAGAGGCGCACCUGGAUUUGGCUGAUGAGCUCCACCUGUGGAGUUUGUGUGUUGCUGCAGACGAGGCUAGAGACUUGGGAGGAUUUUCAUGGAAAUUUCUCAGUGUAGAGAAAGUUCAAACACUUCAGUGAAACAAGUGAAAAGUUUUUUUAAGAGGAAUAAUAAUAAAAAAAGAAGCUAAACUGAAAACAGCAGAUGGAGCUGGUGGGCCAACCAGAAAAAGCAGCUGGAGAGUGAAGAGGAAGGAAGAAGUCAAGAAGAAUACCUACCAAACUGGCAACAUACGGAGGGAUUUAAAAGCUGCCUGUGGACUCACAGCUGGAGAACUCGAGAGGACAGGAGUGUUCGUCCAUUGGGAAAUUAUGAAGCUGCAGCUGGCAUUCUGCGUUGAUGGUCAUCCUGGAGAGAGAGAGAAGACUGGAUUAGAUGGAGGUGCUCAGGGCUCUCCAGUUACUUUGGAUCCUUCGCUUAGCAGACCGUGAAGCACAUUAUGCGGAGCAGCUGAUUGGGCGUCGUAAUCCAGUGCGAGUCGGCGUUCUUGGAAUUCCUGAAGAUGGUGUCGGGCAGCCAGAUCAGGCCGACCAUAUUGCUGGUUGAACAAGAAACAGAGAGAGAGAGAGAGAGAACAAGGUGAGACUUCACUGCAGCAGACUUCCUCCAGACUUCUGUGAAAUGCGUGAGUCGGCCUCCCUUCUCAAUAGGAGGAUAAUAAAAUAACCGGGCGACUUGGGGAAAACAAAGCA